UAUUAUUAAUAAUAAUAUCAUUCGAUUCAAGAGGUGUAUUUUAUGUUAACAACUAUGCUUUUAACAAAGUUACCAGAAGCUUAUAUG
rnacentral:tRNA from 1 species